rnacentral:rRNA from 1 species
UGGGGAAUAUUGCACAAUGGGCGGAAGCCUGAUGCAGCAACGCCGCGUGCGGGAUGACGGCCUUCGGGUUGUAAACCGCUUUCGCCUGUGACGAAGCGUGAGUGACGGUAAUGGGUAAAGAAGCACCGGCUAACUACGUGCCAGCAGCCGCGGUGAUACGUAGGGUGCGAGCGUUGUCCGGAUUUAUUGGGCGUAAAGGGCUCGUAGGUGGUUGAUCGCGUCGGAAGUGUAAUCUUGGGGCUUAACCCUGAGCGUGCUUUCGAUACGGGUUGACUUGAGGAAGGUAGGGGAGAAUGGAAUUCCUGGCGGAGCGGUGGAAUGCGCAGAUAUCAGGAGGAACACCAGUGGCGAAGGCGGUUCUCUGGGCCUUUCCUGACGCUGAGGAGCGAAAGCGUGGGGAGCGAACA